rnacentral:rRNA from 1 species
GACGGAGGGUGCAAGCGUUGUUCGGAAUUACUGGGCGUAAAGCGCGGGCAGGUGGCCCUUUAAGUCCUUUGUGAAACUCCGGAGCUCAACUCCGGACGUGCAUAGGAUACUGGAGGGCUAGAGACUGGUAGAGGCGAGCGGAAUUCCUGGUGUAGCGGUGGAAAUGCGUCGAUAUCAGGAAGAACACCCGGUGGCGAAGGCGGCUC